ensembl:lncRNA
GUGAGGGAGUGGCCGUGCAGUCCUACGGGGGAAGAGGAAACUGUGGGUGCAAGGGCCUGAGGCAGGAACACGCCUGUUGUGUUCCUGCGCCCGGCUAGGAGGCCAGCGACGCUGCCGCAGUGACCAAGGAGGACAGAGGCGGAUUCUUAAGCACUGGACCACCAGAGAAGUCCCCGACUUUGGUUUCAGGAGAACCACCCUGGUUGCUGUGUUGAGAACAGCCUGGAGGGAAUAACAGCAGAAGUAGGAGGGACCAGACAGGAGGCCAUGACAGAAACUGGGAUAAAGAGGAGAGGGGCUUGGGACGGCGCGCGAAGGAGUGACCAGGUCUGGACAUAUUUUGGAGAUGGGACAGAACCCACAGGAUUUGCUGAUGGCUUGAACUUAGAGAAUGAGAAGAAGAGAAGAGAAAGGAAGACUACAUGUUUUUGUGUUGGGAUUUUUGAAAAAUCAGUUUUAUGGAGGUAUGGGCUGCCCUGGUGGCUCAGAUAGUAAAGAAUCUGCCUGCAAUGCAGGAGACCUGGGUUCGAUCCCUGGAUAGGGAAGAUAACCUGGUGAAGUGAAUGGUUACCCACACUCCAGUAUGCUUGCCCGGAGAACUCCACGCACAGAGGAGCCUGGUGGGCUACAGUCCAUGGGGUCACAAAGAGUCAGACACGACUAAGAGACUACACUUCCACUUCAUGGAGAUACAGUUUACAUAGAAUAAACGUCAUCAUUUUUUAAGAAAUGCAAUUCUUUAAAAAAAAAUUUAUUUAUUUUGGCUGCCCAGGCUUUAGUUGUGGCACGCGGGAUCUAUUUCUCUGACCAGGGAUGGCGCCCAGUUCCCAUACAUUGGGAGCGCAGUCUUAGCGCUCCAGAAAAAUCCCCUCGAAAUCACCAUUUUUGUAUAAACUAUAGUCCUACGAGAUUCGGUAAAUGCAUUCAGUCAGGUAACCAUCACUGCCAUCAAGAUAUAAGGCAGUUCCGUCAUUAUUUAAAAAUCCCCCCAUGCGCCUUUGGGGGCAGUCCUUCCCCCACCCCAGCCCCCGGCAGCCACCCAUCUGCUCUCUGGCCCUGCAGCGCUGUCUUUUUCAGCACAGCGUCGUAUAGAUGGAAUCGUGGUGCGGAGCCUCUGGAGUUCCGCUGUCUCUCCUCAGCAGCAUGUGCUUAAAAUUCACCAUGUUGUGUGUGCAUGCGUGCGUACAGAGUCGCAUCAGUCGUGUCUAACUCUGUGAUCCUGUGGACUGUAGCCCACCAGGCUCCUCUGUCUAUGGGAUUCUCCAGGCAAGAACACUGGAGUGGGUUGCCAUGCCCUCCUCCAGUGGACCUUCCCGAUCCAGGGAUGGAACCCAAGUCUCUUACGGCUCCUGCAUUAGCAGGUAGGCUCUUUACCACUAACACCACCUGAGAAGCCCCGUGUGGACUAUAGUUUGUUCCUUUUUGCUGAGGAGUAGAAUUCUACUGAACGGACGGACCACAGUUUGCUUAUCACAGCUGAAGAAACACUUG